CUUCUGAGCGCCUCCUAC
rnacentral:siRNA from 1 species